rnacentral:rRNA from 1 species
GACGAACGCUGGCGGCGUGCUUAACACAUGCAAGUCGAACGGAAAGGCCCUGCUUUUGUGGGGUGCUCGAGUGGCGAACGGGUGAGUAACACGUGAGUAACCUGCCCUUGACUUUGGGAUAACUUCAGGAAACUGGGGCUAAUACCGGAUAGGAGCUCCUGCUGCAUGGUGGGGGUGGGAAAGUUUCGGCGGUUGGGGAUGGAUUCGCGGCUUAUCAGCUUGUUGGUGGGGUAGUGGCUUACCAAGGCUUUGACGGGUAGCCGGCCUGAGAGGGUGACCGGCCACAUUGGGACUGAGGUACGGCCCAGACUCCUACGGGAGGCAGCAGUGGGGAAUAUUGCACAAUGGGCGGAAGCCUGAUGCAGCAACGCCGCGUUCGGGAUGACGGCCUUCGGGUUGUAAACCGCUUUCGCCUGUGACGAAGCGUGAGUGACGGUAAUGGGUAAAGAAGCACCGGCUAACUACGUG